rnacentral:misc_RNA from 1 species
AGCCAAUGCAGCACAGCACUGCAGAAGAAAAAGAUCAAGUUCUAAGCCUUGCUCAGACCACCGAACUGAACGGUACCACUCAGAAGACAAAAUAGCAGCAUCACCAUUCCUCCUCCACAUUCCAGCAUGAACCUGGGCACAAAACACCCUAUUGCGCAAAGGAUGCUCCAUGACAAAUGCAGAAAACCCACAAGGGUGACA